rnacentral:rRNA from 1 species
GACGAACGCUGGCGGCGUGCUUAACACAUGCAAGUCGAGGGGUAUGCUUCUUCGGAAGCAGAGACCGGCGCACGGGUGCGUAACGCGUAUGCAAUCUACCUUUUACAGAGGGAUAGCCCAGAGAAAUUUGGAUUAAUACCUCAUAGUAUUAUAGAAUGGCAUCAUUUUAUAAUUAAAGUCACAACGGUAAAAGAUGAGCAUGCGUCCCAUUAGCUAGUUGGUAAGGAACGGCUUACCAAGGCUACGAUGGGUAGGGGUCCUGAGAGGGAGAU